rnacentral:rRNA from 1 species
GCCUACGGCCAUACCAGCCUGGGUACGCCCGAUCUCGUCUGAUCUCGGAAGCUAAGCAGGGUCGUGCCUGGUUAGUACUUGGAUGGGAGACCGCCUGGGAAUACCAGGUGCUGUAAGCA